CGGCUGGAGGAUGAUGAGGUCAUCGCGUACAUGCUGCGAGGACUUGGAUCCGAAUACGAUCCCCUCGUCACCAGCCUCACAACACGCGUCGAUGUAGUCACCAUCAGUGACGUCUACGCGCACAUGCUCAGCUAUGAAC